GAUACAGAGGUGAGUAAGCAAGUUUUCCAGCAUCAGCAGUCAUUUAAUGCUUACAGGGUGGAGAAGGCGAGGGAGAUAGCACAGACACCGCACCUCUGCAUAGAUUCACAUCUGGACGCGAUGAGCACCCGCCAGGCGGAAAACUCACAGGUGGCCCGGAGCCGCCGAGGAGGGAGGCGCGCGCUCCGCCCCGGGCCGCGGGAAGUCGCUCUCCUCAGCGGCCGCGCGACGAGCGGGCUGGGGGCGCUGCACGCCGCUCCUCGCCGCUGCUUGCUUGCUCGCCUCGCCUCGCGCGAGCCCGGCUCCCGCCCGCCCUUCCUCCCGCCCGGCUCGCGCCGCCGCCGGCCAAUGCGGGCCGCAGCGAGGAGCCGGCUUUAACCAUCUGUUGCGAGGCGCCUCCUCCUAGCGCUGCCGCCUCCCUUGCGGGGGGCUCCCGCCCAGGCACCCCUCCGAGGAGACAGAGAGCGAGGGGAGAGCUUUAUGCCUCGCUAAGGUGCUCUCUGCCCCCCGGAGCCUUCGGGGGCCGCGGCUGUUGCCCGUCUCCCUUCCCCCACGCGCCUCGCGCUCCCAUCCCCCCGUCCCCUCAGCGCCCUUCCCGCCGUCCGCUCGCCUCAGGGCGGUCCCUCCUGAGUGCCUUCGCUGUGAGGUGAGGGAAGAUCUCGACUGGGACCCCACGCUGUCCCCUUUUCGGGUGUUAGGUAGGAUAGGGAGGUUUCAGGGGGAGGGGGCCGAUCAGCCAAAAGGAGUUUCGUGUGCGGUCCCGUGCUCCUGGUGUUACGGGGGAAUAAAACCCUGAGCUGACACAACUUCCUUACGGCCCACUUAACGAUAACCACGGCUCUCCACAGGGGUGGCCGGAGCAGCGCGUCCCGUCCUGCUGGAAGGGCACGGCGCAGGCUCGGCUCUACCCGUGCGUGAUGAGACUUCUUAGACAUAUCCAGCGGUGAAGCCGCUCCAGGAGAGUCUAGACUCACAUUCACUGUUUAAAUAGGUUUGAGCUUCAGCCUUUCACGUUCCUAAUUUGAAGGUUUUUCCAUAAACGUGGACAACCUCUGGGCACACGGAUCUUCACUCCAGACGAUGGUAGCUCAGACGUUUGCAGUGGACACGUAAUCUUUACCCAGAGCAGACCCACAGUUUGUUUUACUUCUCCCUUUUGCAUACCUCCUUAUGGAUUUGAUACACACUGACAGUUUGGGGGAAAAUAAAUGCGUAGGAAGAGAUUUAAUCAUUUCCUUGCUAUAGAUCAUGCUUUGUAACCCAUUCCAUACAUUUUCAGCAGAUUCCCCACUGAAAAAAAAACAGGAGUGAGAAGCUAAUUUCAUCCCAUACAGAUCCCAGGCUAAUAUUUUUAUGACAAUGUGUCAUGAAAAUAAUGCAAAUUCUUUUCAACUUUCACCAACUUGAAGCUAAGAAAACAGUCUUGAGAUGCCUGCUGUGGGAUGAUAAAAAAUAUACGUAGUGCAUGUGUUAAAUCAAGUUCUAAAUGAAAUUUAGUCUUUUUUUUUUUUGAAACUGUCACAUUGCUAUUUCUCACUAUAGCAAUUUCUGAGCAGAGAGCUAGAAGCUGUAACUAGAGUAUGGAUGAAAUGUGUUUUGUAGCUCUGUGUAUUCCUGCAUUACUUUCUUGCAUUUUCUUCGCUAUCUUCAG
rnacentral:lncRNA from 1 species